rnacentral:tRNA from 1 species
GUCGGGGUGGCUCAGACUGGUGGAGCGUCGGACUCAUAGGGAGUUCUUCUGACCAGAUGCUCCUCGGACAUCCGGAGGUCGCGGGUUCAAAUCCCGUCCCCGACA